UACAGAGGGGGCAAGCGUUGUCCGGAAUCAUUGGGCGUAAAGAGCGUGUAGGCGGCUCGGUAAGUCCGCUGUGAAAGUCCAGGGCUCAACCCUGGAAUGCCGGUGGAAACUGUCGAGCUAGAGUCCGGAAGAGGCGAGUGGAAUUCCUGGUGUAGCGGUGAAAUGCGCAGAUAUCAGGAGGAACACCAAUGGCGAAGGCAGCUCGCUGGGACGGUACUGACGCUGAGA
rnacentral:rRNA from 1 species